UUACCCGUGGGGAGCGUUUCCGCCAUUUUUGAAAAUUGGGAAGGUCCUGGUUUUAAGUGUAGUUGCCGACGCAAUGGCAGCCUUUGCCGUGGAACCUCAGGGGCCCGCGUUAGGAUCUGAACCAAUGAUGCUGGGUUCACCCACAUCUCCAAAGCCAGGAGUUAAUGCCCAGUUCUUACCUGGAUUUUUAAUGGGGGAUUUGCCAGCUCCGGUGACUCCACAACCUCGAUCAAUUAGUGGCCCUUCAGUAGGAGUAAUGGAAAUGAGAUCACCUUUACUUGCAGGUGGGUCACCACCACAACCAGUUGUACCAGCUCAUAAAGAUAAAAGUGGCGCUCCACCAGUUAGAAGUAUAUAUGAUGACAUUUCUAGCCCAGGACUUGGAUCAACACCUUUAACUUCAAGAAGACAGCCAAACAUUUCAGUAAUGCAGAGUCCUCUUGUUGGAGUUACAUCUACUCCUGGAACAGGGCAAAGUAUGUUUAGUCCAGCAAGUAUCGGUCAGCCACGAAAGACGACAUUAUCUCCUGCCCAGUUGGAUCCUUUUUAUACUCAAGGAGAUUCUUUGACUUCAGAAGAUCACCUCGAUGACUCUUGGGUGACUGUAUUUGGGUUUCCUCAAGCAUCUGCUUCCUACAUAUUACUACAAUUUGCACAGUAUGGGAAUAUCUUAAAACAUGUGAUGUCUAAUACAGGAAAUUGGAUGCAUAUUCGUUAUCAGUCUAAACUGCAGGCUCGGAAAGCCUUAAGCAAAGAUGGGAGGAUUUUUGGAGAAUCCAUCAUGAUUGGUGUAAAACCAUGUAUUGACAAAAGUGUUAUGGAAAGCAGUGACAGAUGUGCUUUAUCAUCUCCAUCUUUAGCCUUUACACCACCAAUCAAAACUCUAGGUACACCAACACAACCUGGAAGUACUCCUAGGAUUUCUACCAUGAGACCUCUUGCUACAGCAUACAAAGCCUCUACUAGUGAUUAUCAGGUUAUUUCUGACAGACAAACGCCAAAAAAAGAUGAAAGUCUUGUAUCCAAAGCAAUGGAGUACAUGUUUGGCUGGUAGUAGAAGACCCAGGAGGAGGUUGCUACACUAAAACAGAGUUAGCAGAGUGCUGCUGUUUCCUUCGAAAUGGGAUCUUGUUCUCUCACCUGAGCUGGAGUGCAGUGGUGCGAUCAUAGCUCACUGAAACCUUGAACUCUUGAGCUCAAGUGAUCCUCCCGCCUCAGCCUUUCAAGCAGCUGGGACCACAGCUUCAGCCAACCUCUUCUCUUUGAUGUUCCUCAAACAUCCCAGGAAUGCUCCCACUUUAGAACUGUUGUACUUGUGGUUCCUGCCAACCCAAAUCCCAGAUAGCCACACAGGAUUGGAUGGAGGUUCUGCAUUCUUGGCAAGACCCCCAUGGACUGACGCUGUGUCCUGAGUAUUUCAUCAUGUGGAUGUGUCCUCAUACAGGUGAUGUUAACUCUGAUCGCUUGGUUAAGGUGCUGUCUGCCAGGUGUCUGCACUGGAAAAGUACUAUUUUUUUUUUUUUUUUUUUUUUUGUCAAAGGAGCAGGGUAUAAAAGGCAGGGCAUGAAAUCUGAGAGCAGGCGUGCAUCAGGAAUUAGGAACCAGGAACUGGGAGCUGAGGCUGCUGCCCUCUGAGGAAAAGGAGACUUUAAAGAAGAUUUACAAAGAAUGGAGAAAGAAGAUUCAAGAAGAUGAAGAUGUCAAAUGCCUCAUUGCAAAAUAUAGAUUGGAAAGUGUUCCUUUAAUUUGGCAUUUUGUGGGUCAUUUGUGAUUUUAGUAAAUUAUGCAAUGUGAAAAAAUAUACAGUUUCUUUCAAAUGGCGAACAAUUAAAGAAAAAAACUCGUAAGUGUGGGCUGUAGCAAAAGUGAGGCUCUUAUUGUUGUCACUGUCUGACAGAAAUCUGAAUUCUGAUCCCACAGAUUUCUCUCCUCUCUUUUCCCUGCUUACUUUGAACUGAAGUACCUCUUUACUCCUUCCUUCCUUUCCCUCCCUCUUAUCUCUUUGCCUCCCUGUAGAUUCCAUCACAGCUUCCUCCAUCCUUUUUUUUUAUUAUUAUACUUGAAGUUUUAGGGUACAUGUGCACAAUGUGCAGGUUUGUUACAUAUGUAUACAUGUGUCAUGUUGGUGUGCUGCACCCAUUAACUCAUCAUUUACAUUAGGUAUAUCUCCUAAUGCUAUCCUUCCCCCCUCCCCCACCCCACAACAGGCCCCAGUGUGUGAUGUUCCUCUUCCUGUGUCCAUGUGUUCUCAUUGUUCAUUUCUCAGCUAUGAGUGAGAACAUGCGGUGUUUAGUUUUUCAUCCUUGCGAUAGUUUGCUGAGAAUGAUGGUUUCCAGCUUCAUCCAUGUCCCUACAAAGGACAUGAACUCAUCAUUUUUUAUGGCUGCAUAGUAUUCCAUGGUGUAUAUGUGCCACAUUUUCUUAAUCCAGUCUAUCGUUGUUGGACAUUUGGGUUGGUUCCAAGUCUUUGCUAUUGUGAAUAGUGCAGCAAUAGACAUACAUGUGCAUGUGCUUUUAUAACAGCAUGAUUUAUAAUCCUUUGGGUAUAUACCCAGUGAUGGGAUGGCUGGGUCAAAUGGUAUUUCUAGUUCUAGAUCCUUGAGGAAUCACCACACUGUGUUCCACAAUGGUUGAACUAGUUUACAGUCCCACCAACAGUGUAAAAGUGUUCCUAUUUCUCCACAUCCUCUCCAGCACCUGUUGUUUCCUGACAUUUUAAUGAUCGCCAUUCUAACCGGUGUGAGGUGGUAUCUCAUUGGGGAACAUCUUAAAAGAAAAUCAUGUAAUUGCCAUUUGCACUUCCCCACCUCUUAUCCACUCUUCAGCCUACUGCAAAUUGACUUUUGACCUCUUUAAUCUACUGAAAUGGCUCAUGCAAAGAGACUUUUUAUAAAAAUCACAUAUAAUUUAGAUUUUUUAUUUUCUGCAUAAAUCUCUUUAAUUUUAUGUGAUAAUACAGUGCAUGAUUAUUUGUUGAGCCAUUAAUUUUGUAUUAGUGAAGGAGAAAGUUGAACCUGUCAGUUAAACGGGAUGGAAUAAGAAACAAUAUUUUAAAAAUAGCAGUAAAUAGAAACUUGCACAAUAAAAAUAUUUUUGUGUCACUUGAAAUAUUACCAUUGGUUGCAAGUUUUAAAGAUGUAAAAGGUGUCUUCUUUCACGUUCACUUUUUUUUUCAGUAGAGAUACUGACUGCAGGCAGCUUGCCUCUUUUGUUUUCUUGGCUUAUAGUUACAGUACUUGAGCACAAAUUUAAUGAAGCAUUGUUUAAUUGAGACUUCCCUGUAGUGACACAACAAUAUUGCAAAUUUUUUUCAUAGGCAUUUCCUCACUUAAUUCUCAAACAAGUUUUGUCUUUUUUUUUUUUUCAUCACAACAUCUGUAGACAAGAUCAAACAACUUUUGAAGGGUAUUUGAUUUCCCCCUAUUUACAGAUGAAGAAACUAAAACUCAAAAGAUACAAAUUGCCACAUUCACCCUGCCACAGGGUGUGUGUGUGUGUGUGUGUGUGUGUUUUCUGACUCUAAACGUAGAGCAGUUUCUAC